GACGAACGCUGGCGGCGUGCCUAAAACAUGCAAGUCGAGCGCAGGAAACUGACGGAACUCUUCGGAGGGAAGGCAGUGGAAUGAGCGGCGGACGGGUGAGUAACACGUAAGGAACCUGCCGCAAGGAUUGGGAUAACUCCGAGAAAUCGGAGCUAAUACCGGAUAGUUCAACGGACCACAUGGUCCGCUGAUGAAAGGCGCUCCGGCGUCACCUUGAGAUGGCCUUGCGGUGCAUUAGCUAGUGGAUGGGGUAACGGCCCACCAAGGCGACGAUGCAUAGCCGACCUGAGAGGGUGAUCGGCCACACUGGGACUGAGACACGGCCCAGACUCCUACGGGAGGCAGCAGUAGGGAAUCUUCCACAAUGGACGAAAGUCUGAUGGAGCAACGCCGCGUGAGUGAUGAAGGUUUUCGGAUCGUAAAACUCUGUUGUAAGGGAAGAACACGUACGAGAGGGAAUGCUCGUACCUUGACGGUACCUUACGAGAAAGCCACGGCUAACUACGUGUCAGCAGCCGCAGUAA
rnacentral:rRNA from 1 species